UAAAACUAAGUCAAAAACAUUUGGAUUCAGUAGACGGGUUCCUCAAUCUCACCCACAAAUCUCGGCCCCAUUAUAGCUCUCCCAUAUUUGAUCCCUCCAUCUCCCUUUAUCUGUGAAAAAACAAAAAUAUCAGUUUGAAGAUUUCAUUCAGAUUGCUUUUCGCUUUCCUUUCUCUCACUCAACGCAAACCCUAGCAUCGAUGAUGACGAAGAACUUUCUCAGAUGUCCACUGGUCGCAAGGUAAUCGUCAAACAAAAAGCUUAAAUUUGAAAUUCUUUGUCUCGCUAAAUCAGUUAGGUUUUGCGAUUUUUUAUUCCAAAUCAAUGUCAGGCAAAGUGCAAUUGACGUCGCCGCUCAUGCCCUUCCUCGCGUUGCCAUCAUCCGUUGUGGAUGGUAAGGUUUAAGUGGAGACUGCUUGGCUUGAAAUUCUUGCUCAAAUACCUUGAUUAUCUCUGGAUAUUGAAGCUUUCACCAUAGUUGAGUGAAGAUAAACAUGGCAAAGCUUUAUCGAUGAAAAUUAAACACCGCUGAACUCUCAAUCAUUCGGAUUUUGUAAUUUCUGUUUUGGGCGUAGAGGAGUGAUUAGAUGAAGCGAUUGAGGAUUGAUGAUGAUGAUUAUGAUGUUGAUGACUGGGUUCAUGAGUAUUCACAAGUAAAUUGAUGUGUUGGGCUCUUGAAUUUUAAUAUUGGGGCAGAUUUACUCUAUUUUUUCUUAAUGAUCUUGAGGUUGAUGAUGAUGACGCUACCAGAGUACCAGGCUAAUAAGAUUCAAGAUUAUGUAAAAGGAAUUGUCAUGCCACUCAUACAUAUUCAGAGAACAUUGGAUGCACCUUGGAAUGAAGACUAUAUUUCACAUUGAAGGUUCUUCAAAUGAUGACAAAGGAGGCUGCAAUGGCAAACCUAGAGGCAGAAAGAUUUGUUAGAACGUGUAUUUAAAUGAACUUUUAGUGAGUUAAGUUUCAUUUUCAGAGCAUGAAAUGACCUUGAAGUGACAAAUGAAUCUGAGCAAAAAGCCUUAGGGACAAUAGUGAUUAAACUUGACCAAGACCACAUACAUUGUUAGAUGGUUACAGAUUUAAGUAGUGAAGAAUCUGAACAUUAAGUACAGAUAGGAGAGAUAAUAGUGUAACUAAAUGGUUAAGAAUUUAAGACGUCUUAGAGUUGGUGAUCAAAGUCUGUAGUAUAUAUGUUGAAUAUCUAUUCUCUGUAUUUUUUGCAUUGGUUGUAGUAAAGGUUACGAUCAUGGUUUUACUAAA